GCUUCAGCUUCUACACUACAGACUUCUUUCUGAUAUGUAGUUGAGUUUUAUUUAUUUUCAAAUCUCAUCUUAUCUAUAAACCUUAGUUAAAAGAUAUGGAAGGAUGUUUGGUUGGAAAAAGUUGAGAUCUGAUAUCGGAAUGGGAAUGGAUAAUUUUUGUUUUAAUCAUUUGGUUGGAAGGAGUCCAAUUUCAAUUUUAAGAUGGAAU
rnacentral:lncRNA from 1 species